GACGAACGCUGGCGGCGUGCCUAAUACAUGCAAGUCGAACGCAGUGGGGACGGGUGAGUAACCCGUGGGUAACCUCCCAUCAGAGGGGAUAACACUGGGAAACAGGUGCUAAACCGAUACUGAUGGAUGGACCCGCGGUGCAUUAGCUAGUUGGUGAGGUAACGGCUCACCAAGGCCACGAUCCAUAGCCGGUCUGAGAGGGUGACCGGCCACACUGGAACUGAGACACGGCCCAGACUCCUACGGGAGGCAGCAGUAGGGAAUCUUCGGCAAUGGGCGAAAGCCUGAUCGAGCCACGCCGCGUGAGUGAAGAAGGUCUUCGGAUCGUAAAACUCUUUUGUCAGAGAAGCGGUAUCUAACCAGAAAGCCACGGCUAACUACGUGCCAGCAGCCGCGGUAAUUC
rnacentral:rRNA from 1 species